rnacentral:rRNA from 1 species
UUCUUCGGAGAGUUUGAUCCUGGCUCAGGAUGAACGCUGGCGGCGUGCCUAAUACAUGCAAGUCGAGCGAACUGAUUAGAAGCUUGCUUCUAUGACGUUAGCGGCGGACGGGUGAGUAACACGUGGGCAACCUGCCUGUAAGACUGGGAUAACUUCGGGAAACCGAAGCUAAUACCGGAUAGGAUCUUCUCCUUCAUGGGAGAUGAUUGAAAGAUGGUUUCGGCUA